rnacentral:rRNA from 1 species
UAGGGAAUCUUCGGCAAUGGACGAAAGUCUGACCGAGCAACGCCGCGUGAGUGAAGAAGGUUUUCGGAUCGUAAAACUCUGUUGUUAGAGAAGAACAAGGACGUUAGUAACUGAACGUCCCCUGACGGUAUCUAACCAGAAAGCCACGGCUAACUACGUGCCAGCAGCCGCGGUAAUACGUAGGUGGCAAGCGUUGUCCGGAUUUAUUGGGCGUAAAGCGAGCGCAGGCGGUUUCUUAAGUCUGAUGUGAAAGCCCCCGGCUCAACCGGGGAGGGUAAGUGGAAACUGGGAGACUUGAGUGCAGAAGAGGAGAGUGGAAUUCCAUGUGUAGCGGUGAAAUGCGUAGAUAUAUGGAGGAACACCAGUGGCGAAGGCGGCUCUCUGGUCUGUAACAGACGCUGAGGCUCGAAAGCGUGGGGAGCAAACAGG